GGCCUUGUAGCUGAGAGGAUAACGGCGUAAGUAUUAUGUCGGAUGACAUAAGCUGGUAAUCCUGGGUUCGAAUCCCAGCAUGACCU